UAUCAGUACUCGCCCUAGCAAGGUGAAACCGCGAACGGCUCAUUACAACAGCUAUAAUCCACUCGAUCUUGAGCAGUUACUCGGAUAACUGUGGUAAUUCUAGAGCUAAUACGUGAAGCAAAGCUGUAUUCAUUUGGAUGCAGCGCAUUUAUUGGAGCAAAACCAGGCGGCUUCGGCCGUUCACUGUUGACUCAGAAUAACUAAGCUGAGCGCAUGGUCUUGUACCGGCGCCGUGUCGUUCGAGUGUCUGCCUUAUCAACUUUCGAUGGUAGUGUAUGUGACUACCAUGGUUGUGACGGGUAACGGGGGAUAAGGGUUCGACUCCGGAGAAGGGGCCUGAGAAAUGGCCACUACG
rnacentral:rRNA from 1 species